CACCAGGUUGAUUCUGCCUGACGUGGACGCUAGUCUCACAGAUUUAGCCAUGCAUGUGUAAGCGAAGCUUUUAGUGGAGCGGUGAAAGGCUCAGUAACGGGCGAUUUAUUUGUUCUCCUGUGACGGGCAACAUCGGGAAACUGAUGGGAAAACGUCUAAGUUGCAGUUAAUUGAUUGUGACGUAAACGAUAUUGUGCAGGAGAGUAAGAUGCCAUCCUAUCAGUUAGUAAGUAGGGUAAGGGCCUACUUAGACGAAGACGGGUACGGGGAAUGAGGGUUUGAUUCCGGAGAGGGAGCCUGAGAGAUGGCUACCAGGACCAAGGUCAGCAGCAGGCGCGAAAAUUAUCGAAGCCCGCCUAGGGGCGAUAGUGAGGAGACGUGUAUAACGAAGUACGUGUAAAGAACGUGCUAGUAACUGGAGGUCAAGUCUGGUGCCAGCAUCCGCGGUAAUUCCAGCUCCAGGGGUGUCUAUGAUGAUUGCUGCGAUUAAAAAGUCCGUAGUCAAUCUGACUGACUGGCCUGCAAUGUGAUUGAUUAAAGAACGAGCAGGGUUAGGAAAGCAGAGAAUCAGGAGCGACCGAGGGCUAGAGUAUUGAAUGGCGAGAGGUGAAAUUUGAUGACCCAUUCAGGAGUGACAAAGGCGAAGGCACUAGUCAAGGGCGAAUCCGAUGAUCAAGGACGUAGGCUAGAGUUUCGAAAACGAUUAGAGACCGGAGUAGUUCUAGCAGUAAACUAUGCCGACGCCGUGGUAUCAUUUUGGUAUUGCGGAAGAGAAAUCAAGUAAGGCUUUGGGGAGAGUACGCGCGCAAGCGAUAAAUUUAAAGGAAAUU
rnacentral:rRNA from 1 species